CAUUAAAAAUGCGGCUGGCUCUCUUUGGAGGGUUGGUCAACAGAUUUAAUUCUGUGCACUGUUUUUAAUUGGGGGUUUUCUUGAAAAAGGGAGCCUCCUGCCCUGGGUAUUGCUCUUUUUCCUUUGGGAAGAAAUCAGCUUGCCCUAUUAAUAUACUAUUCUGACUGAACUAAAACAGAAAAUUGUUUAACAUAUAAACAACUUUCAGCAAUGGAUCUCUCGGCUUUCGUAUCGAUGAAGAACGCAGCAAAUCGCGAUAUGUAGUGUGAUCUGCCUAUAGUGAAUCAUCAAAUCUUUGAACGCAUCUUGCACCCUUGGGUAUUCCUGAGGGUACGCCUGUUUCAGUAUCAUUUUAACUUCAUCUCCUUUCGAGGGUUUGAAAAAAUCACUACUGGCCAUUGAGUACUUUAUUGUGCUUCUCGGCUGAAAUAAUUUUAUGGUUUCCCUUAUGACUGGGGGCAAUUACCCUUUGGUAGAAUUCAUUUUUUACAAAAGAAACAAUUGAAGCCAGUCUAGAAGUCAUACCUUCACCCCAAAAACCUUGAUCUGAAAUCAGGCGG
rnacentral:rRNA from 1 species